rnacentral:rRNA from 1 species
GGGUUGUGAGGUUAAGCGACUAAGCGUACACGGUGGAUGCCCUGGCAGUCAGAGGCGAUGAAGGACGUGCUAAUCUGCGAAAAGCGUCGGUAAGGUGAUAUGAACCGUUAUAACCGGCGAUGUCCGAAUGGGGAAACCCAGUGCAAUUCGUUGCACUAUCGUUAACUGAAUACAUAGGUUAACGAGGCGAACCGGGGGAACUGAAACAUCUAAGUACCCCGAGGAAAAGAAAUCAACCGAGAUUCCCCCAGUAGCGGCGAGCGAACGGGGAGCAGCCCAGAGUCUGAAUCAGCUUGUGUGUUAGUGGAACGGUCUGGAAAGUCCGACGGUACAGGGUGAUAGUCCCGUACACCAAAAUGCACAGGUUGUGAACUCGAAGAGUAGGGCGGGACACGUGGUAUCCUGUCUGAAUAUGGGGGGACCAUCCUCCAAGGCUAAAUACUCCUGACUGACCGAUAGUGAACCAGUACCGUGAGGGAAAGGCGAAAAGAACCCCGGCGAGGGGAGUGAAAAAGAACCUGAAACCGUGUACGUACAAGCAGUGGGAGCACCUUCGGGUGUGACUGCGUACCUUUUGUAUAAUGGGUCAGCGACUUAUAUUCUGUAGCAAGGUUAACCGUAUAGGGGAGCCGCAGGGAAACCGAGUCUUAACUGGGCGUUAAGUUGCAGGGUAUAGACCCGAAACCCGGUGAUCUAGCCAUGGGCAGGUUGAAGGUUGGGUAACACUAACUGGAGGACCGAACCGACUAAUGUUGAAAAAUUAGCGGAUGACUUGUGGCUGGGGGUGAAAGGCCAAUCAAACCGGGAGAUAGCUGGUUCUCCCCGAAAGCUAUUUAGGUAGCGCCUCGUGAAUUCAUCUUCGGGGGUAGAGCACUGUUUCGGCUAGGGGGUCAUCCCGACUUACCAACCCGAUGCAAACUACGAAUACCGAAGAAUGUUAUCACGGGAGACACACGGCGGGUGCUAACGUCCGUCGUGAAGAGGGAAACAACCCAGACCGCCAGCUAAGGUCCCAAAGUCAUGGUUAAGUGGGAAACGAUGUGGGAAGGCACAGACAGCCAGGAUGUUGGCUUAGAAGCAGCCAUCAUUUAAAGAAAGCGUAAUAGCUCACUGGUCGAGUCGGCCUGCGCGGAAGAUGUAACGGGGCUAAACCAUGCACCGAAGCUGCGGCAGCGACACUAUGUGUUGUUGGGUAGGGGAGCGUUCUGUAAGCCUGCGAAGGUGACCUGUGAGGGUUGCUGGAGGUAUCAGAAGUGCGAAUGCUGACAUAAGUAACGAUAAAGCGGGUGAAAAGCCCGCUCGCCGGAAGACCAAGGGUUCCUGUCCAACGUUAAUCGGGGCAGGGUGAGUCGACCCCUAAGGCGAGGCCGAAAGGCGUAGUCGAUGGGAAACAGGUUAAUAUUCCUGUACUUGGUGUUACUGCGAAGGGGGGACGGAGAAGGCUAUGUUAGCCGGGCGACGGUUGUCCCGGUUUAAGCAUGUAGGCUGGUUGUCCAGGCAAAUCCGGAUAAUCAAGGCUGAGGUGUGAUGACGAGGCACUACGGUGCUGAAGUAACAAAUGCCCUGCUUCCAGGAAAAGCCUCUAAGCAUCAGGUAACAUCAAAUCGUACCCCAAACCGACACAGGUGGUCAGGUAGAGAAUACCAAGGCGCUUGAGAGAACUCGGGUGAAGGAACUAGGCAAAAUGGUGCCGUAACUUCGGGAGAAGGCACGCUGGUGUGUAGGUGAAGUCCCUGCGGAUGGAGCUGAGACCAGUCGAAGAUACCAGCUGGCUGCAACUGUUUAUUAAAAACACAGCACUGUGCAAACACGAAAGUGGACGUAUACGGUGUGACGCCUGCCCGGUGCCGGAAGGUUAAUUGAUGGGGUUAUCCGUAAGGAGAAGCUCUUGAUCGAAGCCCCGGUAAACGGCGGCCGUAACUAUAACGGUCCUAAGGUAGCGAAAUUCCUUGUCGGGUAAGUUCCGACCUGCACGAAUGGCGUAAUGAUGGCCAGGCUGUCUCCACCCGAGACUCAGUGAAAUUGAACUCGCUGUGAAGAUGCAGUGUACCCGCGGCAAGACGGAAAGACCCCGUGAACCUUUACUAUAGCUUGACACUGAACAUUGAGCCUUGAUGUGUAGGAUAGGUGGGAGGCUUUGAAGCGUGGACGCCAGUCUGCGUGGAGCCAACCUUGAAAUACCACCCUUUAAUGUUUGAUGUUCUAACGUUGGCCCCUUAUCGGGGUUGCGGACAGUGUCUGGUGGGUAGUUUGACUGGGGCGGUCUCCUCCCAAAGCGUAACGGAGGAGCACGAAGGUUAGCUAAUCCUGGUCGGACAUCAGGAGGUUAGUGCAAUGGCAUAAGCUAGCUUGACUGCGAGCGUGACGGCGCGAGCAGGUGCGAAAGCAGGUCAUAGUGAUCCGGUGGUUCUGAAUGGAAGGGCCAUCGCUCAACGGAUAAAAGGUACUCCGGGGAUAACAGGCUGAUACCGCCCAAGAGUUCAUAUCGACGGCGGUGUUUGGCACCUCGAUGUCGGCUCAUCACAUCCUGGGGCUGAAGUAGGUCCCAAGGGUAUGGCUGUUCGCCAUUUAAAGUGGUACGCGAGCUGGGUUUAGAACGUCGUGAGACAGUUCGGUCCCUAUCUGCCGUGGGCGCUGGAGAAUUGAGGGGGGCUGCUCCUAGUACGAGAGGACCGGAGUGGACGCAUCACUGGUGUUCGGGUUGUCAUGCCAAUGGCACUGCCCGGUAGCUAAAUGCGGAAGAGAUAAGUGCUGAAAGCAUCUAAGCACGAAACUUGCCCCGAGAUGAGUUCUCCCUGAGACUUUAAGUCUCCUGAAGGAACGUUAAAGACGAUGACGUUGAUAGGCCGGGUGUGUAAGCGCAGCGAUGCGUUGAGCUAACCGGUACUAAUGAACCGUGAGGCUUAACCUUACAACGCCGAAG